rnacentral:sRNA from 1 species
GCUGGGCAUGGUGGCGCAUGCCUGUAAUCCCAGCUACUCGGGAGGCUGAGGCAGGAGAAUCACUUGAACCUGGGAGGCGGAGGUUGCAGUGAGCCAAGAUCGUGCCACUGCACUCCAGCCUGGGCUACAGAGUGAGACUCCGUCUCAA